CCUACGGGUGGCUGCAGUGGGGAAUAUUGGACAAUGGGGGCAACCCUGAUCCAGCCAUGCCGCGUGUGUGAAGAAGGCCCUCGGGUUGUAAAGCACUUUCAGUGAGGAAGAACGCCUGGUGGUUAAUACCCAUCAGGAAAGACAUCACUCACAGAAGAAGCACCGGCUAACUCCGUGCCAGCAGCCGCGGUAAUACGGAGGGUGGGAGCGUUAAUCGGAAUUACUGGGCGUAAAGCGCGCGUAGGUGGCUUGAUAAGCCGGUUGUGAAAGCCCCGGGCUCAACCUGGGAACGGCAUCCGGAACUGUCAAGCUAGAGUGCAGGAGAGGAAGGUAGAAUUCCCGGUGUAGCGGUGAAAUGCGUAGAGAUCGGGAGGAAUACCAGUGGCGAAGGCGGCCUUCUGGACUGACACUGACACUGAGGUGCGAAAGCGUGGGUAGCAAACAGGAUUAGAUACCCUGGUAGUC
rnacentral:rRNA from 1 species